rnacentral:rRNA from 1 species
UACGUAGGGUGCAGGCGUUAAUCGGAAUUACUGGGCGUAAAGCGUGCGCAGGCGGUUUUGUAAGUCAGAUGUGAAAUCCCCGGGCUUAACCUGGGAACUGCGUUUGAAACUACAAGGCUAGAGUGUGGCAGAGGGGGGUGGAAUUCCACGUGUAGCAGUGAAAUGCGUAGAGAUGUGGAGGAACACCGAUGGCGAAGGCAGCCGCCUGGGCCAACACUGACGCUCAGGCACGAGAGCGUGGGGAGCAAACAGG